ACGUGGACACGCCAUUUUGUAUUCCAGCCCAAGUCCCUCAAAGUCUCAAACCCUACUGCUCCUUUCAAUCCUCUCUAUCUCUCGUCACUCAACCCAAAUCGUCGCUGACUGACCACCAGUCCACCACUCGUCACCGCCUGACCGUCGUUCAGCACUCAUCGUCGCCUGACCACCGUCGCAAGUCUCAUUCUCAGUUAUCUCUUUGACUCUUUCUCGAAUUUAACGAAACCCCCUUUAAUCCUCUAUUCCUCUGCCGUCACUCUUCGCUUGUCGCCACCGUCCACCGUCGCUCGUCGGCCUCGCUUUUCACCGCUGGUGCUCUCAGCCUUCUCAUUUGUUUGUUGCGUCUGCGUGGGCCUGACUGUCGCACUGUUCAUUGUCGUCGCUCGUCGCCCGCCAUUGCUGGUCAUCAUUGUUGCCCUGUUCAAGAAUGUCUUCUAGUGGUUCUAGUGCCUCUGGUUCGUGCAAUGUCAGUGGUAGUAGUAAUUCAUCUGAGUCUAUGAAAGACCCCUACCCUUUGUGAAAGUUUGUUGUUAAGGGUGAUAAAAUAUCGGGUGGUGGAGGAAAUUAUAAUUGGAAAUGUAACUUUUGCGGCAAAGUUAAAAAUGGUUCAUACACUAGAGUGAAAGCUCAUUUGCUAUGUGAAACAGGGAAAGGGAUUCAAACUUGUAGUAAAGUGAACAUUGAUGACCUUGCUAAACUAAGAAAGCUUCAUCGUGAAUAUGAGGAUUAUAAAAAAUCUUUGUUACCAAAAGUUCCACCUUUUUCAAAUGAACCCAUAUCUUCUCACACAUCAACUGAAGCUACAUCAGUUAGACUAGGUUCAUCUGAUAAUGUAAAGAAGAGGAAAUCAAACAAUACAAUUUCUGAUGCUUUUAAUAUGAAAUCUCGUGACCAGUUAGAUUCUUAAAUUGCUAGGAUGUUUUACACAGGGGGGUUGCCUUUUAAUCUUGCUAGGAACCCUUACUAUGUU